UAAGCGAAUAGUGAAACCUGGUGGCUCAACCAUACAGACUAUUAUUCGAACUGUUUGACUCGAGAAUGGUAGAGGUAGCUGGAAUUUCUAGUGUAGGAGUGAAAUCCGUAGAUAUUAGAAGGAACACCAAUGGCGUAGGCAGGCUACUGGACCAUUUCUGACGCUAAGGCACGAAAGCGUGGGGAGCGAACCGGAUUAGAUACCCGGGUAGUCCACGCCGUAAACGAUGGAUGCUA
rnacentral:rRNA from 1 species